rnacentral:rRNA from 1 species
GACGAACGCUGGCGGCGUGCUUAACACAUGCAAGUCGAACGGAAAGGCCCUGCUUUUGUGGGGUGCUCGAGUGGCGAACGGGUGAGUAACACGUGAGUAACCUGCCCUUGACUUUGGGAUAACCUCAGGAAACUGGGGCUAAUACCGGAUAGGAGCUCCUGCUGCAUGGUGGGGGUGGGAAAGGUUCGGCGGUUGGGGAUGGACUCGCGGCUUAUCAGCUUGUUGGUGGGGUAGUGGCUUACCAAGGCUUUGACGGGUAGCCGGCCUGAGAGGGUGACCGGCCACAUUGGGACUGAGAUACGGCCCAGACUCCUACGGGAGGCAGCAGUGGGGAAUAUUGCACAAUGGGCGGAAGCCUGAUGCAGCAACGCCGCGUGCGGGAUGACGGCCUUCGGGUUGUAAACCGCUUUCGCCUGUGACGAAGCGUGAGUGACGGUAAUGGGUAAAGAAGCACCGGCUAACUACGUG